rnacentral:rRNA from 1 species
UACAGAGGUGGCAAGCGUUGUUCGGAAUUACUGGGCGUAAAGGGCGCGUAGGCGGCCUACUAAGUCAGACGUGAAAUCCCCCGGCUUAACCUGGGAACUGCGUCUGAUACUGGAAGGCUUGAGGAUGGGAGAGGGAUGUAGAAUUCCAGGUGUAGCGGUGAAAUGCGUAGAUAUCUGGAGGAAUACCGGUGGCGAAGGCGGCAUCCUGGGACCAUUACUGACGCUGAGGCGCGAAAGCUAGGGGAGCAAACGGG